rnacentral:rRNA from 1 species
UAGGGAAUCUUCGGCAAUGGACGAAAGUCUGACCGAGCAACGCCGCGUGAGUGAAGAAGGUUUUCGGAUCGUAAAACUCUGUUGUUAGAGAAGAACAAGGACGUUAGUAACUGAACGUCCCCUGACGGUAUCUAACCAGAAAGCCACGGCUAACUACGUGCCAGCAGCCGCGGUAAUACGUAGGUGGCAAGCGUUGUCCGGAUUUAUUGGGCGUAAAGCGAGCGCAGGCGGUUUCUUAAGUCUGAUGUGAAAGCCCCCGGCUCAACCGGGGAGGGUCAUUUGAUACUGGGAGACUUGAGUUCAGAAGAGGAGAGUGGAAUUCCAUGUGUAGCGGUGAAAUGCGUAGAUAUAUGGAGGAAAACCAGUGGCGAAGGCGGCUCUCUGGUCUGUAACUGACGCUGAGGCUCGAAAGCGUGGGGAGCAAACAGG